AACUGCGAAUGGCUCAUUAAAUCAGUUAUCGUUUAUUUGAUAGUACCCUACUACAUGGAUACCUGUGGUAAUUCUAGAGCUAAUACAUGCGCAAAACCCCGACUUCGGAAGGGGUGUAUUUAUUAGAUAAAAAACCAAUGCCCUCCGGGGCUCCUUGGUGAUUCAUAAUAACUUAACGAAUCGCAUGGCCUUGCGCCGGCGAUGGUUCAUUCAAAUUUCUGCCCUAUCAACUUUCGAUGGUAGGAUAGUGGCCUACCAUGGUGGCAACGGGUAACGGGGAAUUAGGGUUCGAUUCCGGAGAGGGAGCCUGAGAAACGGCUACCACAUCCAAGGAAGGCAGCAGGCGCGCAAAUUACCCAAUCCCGAUUCGGGGAGGUAGUGACAAUAAAUACUGAUGCAGGGCUCUUUUGGGUCUUGCAAUCGGAAUGAGUACAAUCUAAACACCUUAACGAGGAACAAUUGGAGGGCAAGUCUGGUGCCAGCAGCCGCGGUAAUUCCAGCUCCAAUAGCGUAUAUUAAAGUUGUUGCAGUUAAAAAGCUCGUAGUUGAACCUUGGGCCCGUCCUGCCGGUCCGCCUCACCGCGAGUACUGGUCCGGAUGGGCCUUUCUUUCUGGGGAAUCCCAUGGCCUUCACUGGCUGUGGGGGGAACCAGGACUUUUACUGUGAAAAAAUUAGAGUGUUCAAAGCAGGCCUUUGCUCGGAUACAUUAGCAUGGAAUAAUAGAAUAGGACGUGCGGUUCUAUUUUGUUGGUUUCUAGGACCGCCGUAAUGAUUAAUAGGGAUAGUCGGGGGCGUCAGUAUUCAGCAGUCAGAGGUGAAAUUCUUGGAUCUGCUGAAGACUAACUACUGCGAAAGCAUUCGCCAAGGAUGUUUUCAUUAAUCAGGGAACGAAAGUUAGGGGAUCGAAGACGAUCAGAUACCGUCGUAGUCUUAACCAUAAACUAUGCCGACUAGGGAUCGGGCGGUGUUUUUAUGAUGACCCGCUCGGCACCUUACGAGAAAUCAAAGUUU
rnacentral:rRNA from 1 species